ACCAAGAAUGCGUUAUUUAGUAAGCUAGGUAGCAAGGACUUGACUCUAGUUGUGGAGACAUUCCAGGUAGAUGCUGAAGAUUAACGGUACACCGGGAGCAGGUUCAGGUUUGAGAAAUUUCUGUUUCUGAGGAAACUUCAGCCCUUGAUCGGUAGUCAUGUUCGUCUUAUCUCGCCUGCCAAUGGGCCAGAACCGAUGGACUCUAGUGACUACGAUUUAACUUCAAAUAAUGAGCCAGAAGCGUGAUGGCUUGUGCUUGGAGAAAGAACAAUCCUUUCUUGCCUUAGGAACUUCCUCUAAGUUCAUGAAAUUUGUCGAGCCCCAUUCCUUACGGUUUUGUACCAGACGUCCGCCUUCGGUCCAUUGGCUCAGUGCCACCUUCAACCCAGCCACUUUCAACUAAGACUUUUUGUGUGUCCUGAGCCUCCCAGGACAUGUGUCCACACGGCCUACGAUCCUGCACGUGUAGGUCCUUCCUUGGAGAUGGGGGGGGGGGGGGGGGGGCAUAACGGAGUCACCACCCAAUUAGUUCCCUGCAUCCUUGCUGUUCCCCGAAAGUGAGGAUGCUUGGAGAUCUCCAGGGGAGGCACAAGGAACUGGCUUUGAGCCAAAGGUACCAGUUCUACUCCUCCAAGCCUUACUGUAGAAUCCUAAAUUGGGCAACUGCCAGCCUUCAGGGAAGCGCUACUCAAAUUAGAUACCAGCAAUUACCCUCAUUGAAGCCCUUGAAGACUUUGUAUAGCUUUCUCAUGAACAAGGUGCCCAGGAAAUGUCACUGGGAUCUUGGGUCUCCCUGUUUUCCUAGCUUGCCUUUUUUUUCUUUUCCUUUUUUUUUAUUUUAUUUUUUUAUUUUUUCCAACUAGUCAAAAGGAUGCCGUGUAGACAAUGACAGUUCUGUCUGUGACUUCAAGGUUUAUAUGAGGUUCUGUAACGGUCCUGGCAGAAAUGAAGAUACUCUAAAGAGACAUUUAUGCUCCUCCGUUUGGCUACCAGAUUAUUGAAACAAUGGUUCCCAAGGAAAUGGAAUUUCCUCAGGAGUCGCAGGCUGGAGGAAAAGAAAGGCUGAAGGCAGAUGCAGUCAAGAGAGGAACUUGUCUCCCUGGAAGGGAUUUCACACAGCUCUAGAAGCUGGUCAGAUCACCCUGCAGAAGGAACUGGAGCUGAGACAAUGCUGCUAAGAGGGCCACACCCUGACUAGGAUUGCUUAGGUCACAAGAAUAGUGCUGCUCCCCGUGGGCCUAUGGGGGCCAUUUUCUUUCCAAUCACCACACUGGACUUCUAUUUGUUGGUCUUCCCAAUGUGGCCACACUGAAAUAAAUCUCCGUUCUCUGC